rnacentral:rRNA from 1 species
GACGAACGCUGGCGGCGUGCUUAACACAUGCAAGUCGAACGGAAAGGCCCUGCUUUUGUGGGGUGCUCGAGUGGCGAACGGGUGAGUAACACGUGAGUAACCUGCCCUUGACUUUGGGAUAACUUCAGGAAACUGGGGCUAAUACCGGAUAGGAGCUCCUGCUGCAUGGUGGGGGUUGGAAAGUUUCGGCGGUUGGGGAUGGACUCGCGGCUUAUCAGCUUGUUGGUGGGGUAGUGGCUUACCAAGGCUUUGACGGGUAGCCGGCCUGAGAGGGUGACCGGCCACAUUGGGACUGAGAGACGGCCCAGACUGCUACGGGAGGCAGCAGUGGGGAAUAUUGCACAAUGGGCGGAAGCCUGAGGCAGCAACGCCGCGGGCGGGAUGACGGCCUUCGGGUUGUAAACCGCUUUCGCCUGUGACGAAGCGUGAGUGACGGUAAUGGGUAAAGAAGCACCGGCUAACUACGUG